GUGAUCAUUUUGACAGCACAUAUACUAAAAUUGAAAUGAUAUAGAGAACUCUUGCUUGGCCCCUGUGAAAGGAUGACACAUAAAUUUGUGAAGCAUUCUAUAUUUUA